UAAUCUAAAUUAGAGUGGGAAUGAUGCCUGAACUCAAUGAAAGCCUUUUAAAACUCCAAGAUUUAUACAUUAGCCUAAAAGCCAACACCAUAAUCAACAGCCUCCCAUGAACAGUCCAACAGAAGCACAAUAAAUGAUAUUUUCCAUUAGAUUAAGUUUCCUGCUUAAACAAACACGUCACAGCAAAUUUAAUUACAACAUUAUCAAAUCCAGUAAGCAAAACCAGUGAUUUCCUAUCUAACAACAACAUUCUUAACUGAGAGCAGGAAUCAAGGUAAUCCACAUAGCAAAACUAGAUAUGAAAGCAAAACCAAAACUCAGCAGGAAUUCCAUUUGCUUCACAAUCAAGACAAGUUCAAAGGUGUGUACCUAAAUGUUUGAUAAAAAAUACUCCAAAGAAAAAACAAAUAAAGGCAGAAAAUGGUGGAAGGAAAUCCCAGAAAACAUCGACAAAGUCUGUUGGAGUUUGAAAAUAGCUUUUGCAUCUUUCUUUUUACUUCAGUUUUUUUUCUUUGUUGCUUUCCUCGUAAAAUUUGAAGCUCGGAUCAGGAGGUCUAAAACUUCAGCAAACAAUAACUCAAAAUAACAGGAAUAAUGGCUGCCAGUAGUCAGCAAUGCAGCAACUCAAACAGCAUUCAAGCCCAAACAGGCAUUCACAUUUUCAUAAAAAGACCAUUCAAGCGGACGUGCAAACUCAGAAAACCAACUCAAACCUCAACCAAGCAUCCUAAAAUUGUUCAAUGAUGUUUUACUUCUCAGGUUUCCAGCAAUCGAUUCAAACAAACAAAACAUUUCAACUCACGCAAAAUAGAAAAAUAAGAGAGUUUUGGAAGUGAACCUGAAAAUACACUUUUGAUUAAUACAAUUGAAGGAUUACAACGAUUCUUAGAGGAAGCGAGUCCAAACAGAGAUCGCAAUGAACUCACGAGUCAGCAGCUAAGCGAACAGCUUUGGAGCAACUCGAAACUAACAGCAUUCAGACGACUCCUAUUAACUCAAAAUACGAUUAAGAACAAUGAACUCACACUUCAAGUUCAAACCAGAUUCACCAUAAGAAUGACAACGUCUGAACUUCAAGAUGAAAAGAACAAAGGGCUAACAUUGAAGCGAACAUGAAUUUUUUUUAUUUUGUCUUUGGAAUUAAACCAAGACGGUUUCGGAUGAAAAAAAGAAAAGAAAAUGCUUCAUUCGAAUUCUCAUUUCCCGGUGACCUCUCCACUCCAAAAAUCCCCCCUCCUUCUUAAGCAAGAACUUACCUUAUAUAUGAAACUCAGAAAAUCUCGAACCUUUUAUUCCUUUCUUUUCCAAGAAAUCCGCCAAAUUCCAUCCCUAAAUCUGAAAAGAACAACCCCCAAUCUCACAUAGAACGAAACCUAGACAAAUGGAAGGCGUGGAUGCGAUUUCACACAUCCAACCACUCCCAUUUACCCAAAGUUCAUCCCAAGAGAUCAAGAGCGCGUGAGAAAGGGAUGAAACCGAAAAUAUUCUGUCAGAGACCGUUACACAUAUGGUGGCGAGGAAAGAGGGGGAACUCGUGAGGUGAUACUGGGGCUCACUCGCCUGAAUUUGGCGAUUUCGGAAAGGGAUUUGGUUGUUUGGGGAAGAAGAACAGUGCUUGCGCUAAUAGGUAUUAAAGA
rnacentral:lncRNA from 1 species